rnacentral:snoRNA from 1 species
GGGUCAAUGAUGACAACCCAAGUCAUGACGAAUGGUGAUGACAUAAAACUCAUGCUCAAUAGGAUUACGCUGAGGCCC